AGAACGAACGCUGGCGGCAUGCCUAAUACAUGCAAGUCGAACGAACUCUUCGGAGUUAGUGGCGCACGGGUGCGUAACGCGUGGGAAUCUGCCCUUGGGUUCGGAAUAACAGUUGGAAACGACUGCUAAUACCGGAUGAUGACGAAAGUCCAAAGAUUUAUCGCCCAGGGAUGAGCCCGCGUAGGAUUAGCUAGUUGGUGAGGUAAAGGCUCACCAAGGCGACGAUCCUUAGCUGGUCUGAGAGAUGAUCAGCCACACUGGGACUGAGACGACGGCCCAGACCUCCGUACGGGAGGCAGCAGUAGGGGAAUCGUUGCGCAAGUGGG
rnacentral:rRNA from 1 species